CGAACGCUGGCGGCGUGCUUAACACAUGCAAGUCGAGCGAGAAAGUGGAGCUUGCUCCGCGAGUAAAGUGGCAGACGGGUGAGUAACACGUGAACAACCUACCCUUGAGUGGGGAAUAACACCGCGAAAGCGGUGCUAAUACCGCAUAACAUUUCCGAAUCGCAUGAUUUGGCAAUCAAAAGCGCAAGUUGCUUGAGGAGGGGUUCGCGGCUGAUUAGCUAGUUGGUGAGGUAACGGCCCACCAAGGCAACGAUCAGUAGCCGGCCUGAGAGGGCGAACGGCCACACUGGAACUGAGACACGGUCCAGACUCCUACGGGAGGCAGCAGUGGGGAAUUUUGCGCAAUGGGCGAAAGCCUGACGCAGCAACGCCGCGUGGAGGAUGAAGGCUCUCGGGUCGUAAACUCCUGUCAGUGGGGACGAAUGCUUCGCAAGAGGUUUGACUGUACCCAUUGAGGAAGCCACGGCUAACUCCGUGCCAGCAG
rnacentral:rRNA from 1 species